UUUGAUAGUGGGACUUGAUUCCCCUGCAAGUCUUUCAUCACACAUUAUUUGGAAAGGGGUAGAAUAUGAAGAUGAAAGUAUUCUUGGUUUGUUAAGACUUAUUGAUCUAUCGAGUAAUAAAUUGACUGGAGAGAUUCCAGCUGAACUGACGCGUCUUGUGGAGUUGGCUCAGUUAAAUCUAUCACGGAAUGAGUUGAGUAGAGACAUUCCUGAAAAGAUUGGGAACUAGGGAAAGUUAGAAUCUUUGGACUUGUCUCAUAACAAGCUUUCUGGUAAAAUUCCCAAAGGCUUGGCGGAAUUAUAUCUUCUGGAUCAUUUGGAUUUGUCAAACAACCAAUUGUCAAGAAAAAUCCCUACAAGCACUCAACUGCAAAGUUUCAAUGCUUCUACAUAGACCAUGAACCAUGGACUCUAUGGGCCUCCUCUAACCGAUUGGCAUGAAAGUGGAACUUUGCCAGAUGGUUUUUUGGCUUCAACUCAUGAUCAAGAAGAUGAAACAUGGUUUAACUUGUCGUGGUUUUAUAAAGGGAUUGGAGUUGGAUUCACUAUUGGAUUUUGUGUAGUUUGUAUCAAUUUUGUGAUAAUAAACUAUUAUUGGAGAAAUUCUUACUUUAUGUUCAUGCAUAGCGUAAGAAAUAUUCUAUCAAAGGGAUUAUUGAGGGGAAAGCUAGAUUGGAUUGACAGAUCCCUCAGUUGAUGAAGAUCAGACUUAGUAGCUGCAAGGAUUCUUAAGAGUUCAAAGUUAGAAAGCCAAAGAACCGGUCAAGCAUGGAGCAUUUGAUGAAUAAUCUGUAUUAUGAAGAGCCAUACUUUUUCAAUCCUUGAUUUUAGUAGCUGAUGUUUUUGACUAUAUAUGUAUUGUGAAAUAAGUUUGUAAACUGUUUUCAUUGUCAUGUUUUAAGAAAAUAGAACUAAUUAAAUCAAUAUAUCUAGCUUUUUCCGAUGAUAUGAUGAUGUACUUUCUUAUCAGUAAAUUGAAACAAAAAAAUGUACAAGAGGAAAGUCAAAACAUCACUUACCAAAGAUCAAUUUUCUCUUAAUAGGAGCUAGUAGUUUUUAUGAGAACAAGAGAUUGAAACACUUGAUGUUCAACCGA